CGUGAGCGGCGGACGGGGAGGUAAAACGUGGGUAACCGGCCUCCAUACAGGGGAGUAACAGUUGGAAACGGACUGCUAAUACCGCAUAAGCGCACAGUACCGCAUGGUACGGUGUGAAAAACUACCGGUGGUAUGAGAUGGACCCGCGUCUGAUUAGUAGUUGGUGGGGUAACGGCCUACCAAGCCGACGAUCAGUAGCCGACCUGAGAGGGUGACCGGCCACAUUGGGACUGAGACACGGCCCAA
rnacentral:rRNA from 1 species